AUAUGGGUAAAUUUAUUUACUCAUAUUUGGAUGAAAAAAUAAACAUUUACGAGAGAACGAUAAGUAAUCCACAGAACAACAAACCAAGUGUUGUUGUCUGUAACAGUCAGUCCUCAGGACUGGAACAGUUUCCCUAAAAUCUUUUACACUCCGUAACUCGAAGACUAGUUAGCGAGUAAUCAACCCCAAAACCCCACCUGCAGUGAAAAACUACUAUCGAAAAUAAGCAUAUAAUGUCGCGAUACACCCAUCUUGGAUGUCGGAUUCAGCAGCAAUUAGACGCGCCCGCGCCCCGUCAUCAGAACACCAACAGCCGUGGAACUACAAACCGCUCAUUGAAGGGUUUGCAGCUGUUACAUCCGCAACCUCCGCAACUACCUCCGGUGGAAACUGUCUUUUUUCAUCUAUGCUGCUUGUGGGAAGUAUUUUCACCUCCCGCCGGUAUAAGCAAAUACAUCUCUUCAGGCUGUUAUAAACCUACUUGUUCCCGUGAAAAACUGAAGCCGUUCCUUCCGGCUAGUGUCGACUGUCUAUAAGACUACUAUCGGAACGAUAAUAUUAGCGGUGCUUUCUACCAUCGGGGUGGAACAUCUCCUGCACGACAUAAUGGGCGAGUUGUACUUCCUGCAGUGCUAAUCCAAGCGGCAACAGGAUUUGGCGAAUUCACACCAAAGCUGCCCAGACGUGUGGUUAUGACCCACGGGCACCGAGAAACAACGGAAACAGCAAACCAUCGAUCUGAUUCAGGGGCUAGCGAGCACCGCAGGCAUUCAGUAUAGCAACCGAGACACCACAAUCAAGCAGCCUAUUUACUGCGCUGACAGCCCAUCGAAAGCCCCGACACAAACCAUAUGGAAUGCGGAAUCUGCCUACUGGUAUCCACUAAAUCAUUAGACACCUUUCUUGCCAGAUGCCGUUGAGCACUGUAAACAUCUUGUUACCAGCGGAAUUUGCCAGUAGCAUAAAAUGCCUAUCACCUACACAGGCAUAUUCCUGAUUCCAGCGUUUUUAAUUUAGCAGAUUGUCCCGUCAACUACUCCUAAAACGGUCGUCUGUCAUUUAUAUUUAACUUUAGCUAGUCAAAAAUAAAAAUUAUAAUAUUUAUAUUUGAAUAAAUUCAUAUGAUCCUUUU